rnacentral:misc_RNA from 1 species
GCUAAAAAAUAUAUUAUAUGAUAUAUUAUAUAUUAAUAACUAACUUUAAAGUUUAAAUGGUAAUUUAAAUAUGACUUUUUAUGAAAAUAAUUGUAUAAAAUUACUUCAAGAACCAAACCAAAACUGAAGAACUAUGAACCAAACCGGAAAUGAAACAUCGAAUAACCAAACUGGAACCAUACAAAAAUUUUGGUUUGGUUUGGUUGUAGUUCCUAGGAAGACUCCAAACCGAAAGAGCACAACCCUUAAUCUUAAGUUGUUAACCAAUCAAAGUCCCAUUUAUUUGUUUUUCAAAAAGUGAAAUAGGUGAUUCAACGCUCCAUUGCAAGUACGACACCAAGAAUAGAUCUCAUUGUAAUUGAUGAAUUUCAAGAUUUAUCAAUAUUAAUCCAAAUUCCAAAUCUAUGUAAAGUUGAAGCUUCAUUCAUUCAAACUUGGUGCCUAGUAUCACAUUUAUCAAAUAAAUCCAUCAGUCAGCCAUAGGUUAUGAUACAGUACAGGAAGGAAUGAUAACCAACUCUAAAACCACCCAAUCCCUUCCCCCCUCCCCAUGAAAAAAAGAUUGCAGAGAGAGAGUGUGUGUUGGGGGGAAGAAACUAUCGUAUAGAAGUAUAUUGAAGUAGUCCAUCUCUUUGCUAAUAUAAAACAUCUCAUCUAUUCAUUCUAAACUCCACUUUUAUUCUUUUCCCAUUUUUAAAGUCAGAAUAUAAGAAACAACGCAAUAGAGACCACAAAAUGAUAAAGU